rnacentral:rRNA from 1 species
UACGGAGGGAGCUAGCGUUAAUCGGAAUUACUGGGCGUAAAGCGUGCGCAGGCGGUUCGCUAAGACCGAUGUGAAAUCCCCGGGCUUAACCUGGGAACUGCAUUGGUGACUGGCGAGCCAGAGUGUGGCAGAGGGGGGUAGAAUUCCACGUGUAGCAGUGAAAUGCGUAGAGAUGUGGAGGAAUACCGAUGGCGAAGGCAGCCCCCUGGGCUAACGCUGACGCUCAUGCACGAAAGCGUGGGGAGCAAACAGG